UACGAAGGGGGCUAGCGUUGUUCGGAAUUACUGGGCGUAAAGGGCGCGUAGGCGGUUUGUCAAGUCAGGCGUGAAAGCCCCGGGCUCAACCUGGGAACUGCGCUUGAGACUGGCAGGCUCGAGUUCGGGAGAGGAUGGUGGAAUUCCCAGUGUAGAGGUGAAAUUCGUAGAUAUUGGGUGGAACACCGGUGGCGAAAGCGGCUCACUGGCUCGGUUCUGACGCUGAGGCGCGAAAGCGUGGGGAGCAAACAGG
rnacentral:rRNA from 1 species